CACAGAGGGUGCGAGCGUUGUUCGGAAUUAUUGGGCGUAAAGGGCGCGUAGGCGGUGCGGUAAGUCACCUGUGAAAUCUCCUGGCUCAACUGGGAGCUUGCAGGCGAAACUGCCGUGCUGGAGUGUGGGAGAGGUGCGUGGAAUUCCUGGUGUAGCGGUGAAAUGCGUAGAUACUCAGGAGGAACACCUGUGGCGAAAGCGGCGCACUGGACCACAACUGACGCUGAGGCGCGAAAGCUAGGGGAGCAAACAGG
rnacentral:rRNA from 1 species